rnacentral:rRNA from 1 species
UACAGAGGGGGCAAGCGUUGUUCGGAUUUACUGGGCGUAAAGGGCGCGUAGGCGGUCACGACAAGUCAGUUGUGAAAUCUCCGGGCUUAACUCGGAACGGUCAACUGAUACUGUCGGACUAGAGUGCAGAAGGGGCAACUGGAAUUCUCGGUGUAGCGGUGAAAUGCGUAGAUAUCGAGAGGAACACCUGCGGCGAAGGCGGGUUGCUGGGCUGACACUGACGCUGAGGCGCGAAAGCUAGGGGAGCGAACGGG